rnacentral:rRNA from 1 species
GACGAACGCUGGCGGCGUGCUUAACACAUGCAAGUCGAACGGAAAGGCCCCUUCGGGGGUACUCGAGUGGCGAACAGGUGAGUAACACGUGAGUAACCUGCCCUUGACUUCGGGAUAACUUCAGGAAACUGGGGCUAAUACCGGAUAGGAAUCCUUGCUGCAUGGUGGGGGUUGGAAAGCUUCGGCGGUUUUGGAUGGACUCGCGGCUUAUCAGCUUGUUGGUGGGGUAGUGGCUUACCAAGGCUUUGACGGGUAGCCGGCCUGAGAGGGCGACCGGCCACAUUGGGACUGAGAUACGGCCCAGACUCCUACGGGAGGCAGCAGUGGGGAAUAUUGCACAAUGGGCGGAAGCCUGAUGCAGCAACGCCGCGUGCGGGAUGACGGCCUUCGGGUUGUAAACCGCUUUCAGCAGGGGCGAAGCUUGUGGUGACGGUACCUGAAGAAGAAGCACCGGCUAACUACGU